GGCAGUGUGAAUCCAUGGGGACCUCCUCUGUUAACUGGAAGAUUCUGCACACCCUGCCUACCCUAGAGGCCACCCUACGGGCUCCUGGGCACAUCCACCUCCUGAACCUUGGUGGCCCUGGGGACUACCCUAAACCCCUCCACCUACACCACUUGGUAAGAUGAUCUGAGCAGUAUGUGUUGACUUGCAAAACACAUUCAUCUAAUUUUUGUUGUUGUGAGUCUUGGAGAAAGUGCAGAGGUGUUACCACCAGGCAUUAUAAUGCAAGAGAAAUGUGUCUGCCGCCAUUACCACAUUCCUCGAGUGUCUCAUGAUCCACAUAUCAUCUUUGUGUCAUUUCUCCCACUCUGUGUUGGUACAUAUGUCUCUUGUGGAGAUGGAAUGGGGCCAUAUACAGAAAAGCAGGCAUGGCGCUUCAGCAGAUGUGUGCCAUACACAGUCCACGUGCUGGGCGGUGGGAGGCAUGAGGCUCAGCCUAACGUAUAUCUAUCCAGUUGAGCCCUCACUCAUCCACAGUUGUUUGAUGAGUCAUGAAAGCAUCUGAACCAGGGCUAUAACAGGUCUUCAUCAAAGUUUAAGGGAUGGUUCUCCCCUUCACCUUGGGAUCACCUGAAGCAUGUGGGAUACCCUCUGCAUGUGAUUUGGGAUGUGAUUGGGCCAAAGAGUUUAAGUUGUUUGAGGAAUGAGGUGAUGGUUUUUGUUUUUAGGUUUUUUUUUUUUUUUUUUUUUUUGUCUCUGCACAAUCUACUCCAAUCAAAAUAAACCUCCAUCCCUUCUAGGCUCUUUUGCAGAUCCAGAUUUUGCUCCGGUGAUUGACAACAAAACUGACUCUACCACAAGGACCAAGAAGGACAAGGCCAUUAUGUAUGCAAGAGGGCCUGGUCCUUUCCUAGGUUUGCCUUGCAAGCUGUACCCCAUGGAUCACCCUUCAUCACCAGUCAUGGGCUAUGGGCUACCUCCAGCUCCUCCAAGUACUCAAUUUGGAGAAUUUGAAGUUUGAAGAGGACCCUGAACUGCGACAAAUGGGCUGUGGUCAUGAGAAGGCUGUCCCAGGCCCUGUCACUAAGACCUUUCCCAGUCUGGAGAACAGGCCAACUGGACCAGCUGCACCCUCUACCACCAGCGGAGCUGCCAUGGCCUUGAGCAUUGCAGGAAUUCCGGCAGCCGGCAGAGGGUGCAUGCGCGCGUGUGCGCAACUCGCCCAGGGAGGGCCUGGUCUUCUGCGUGCUCAGUGAUGGCGAGUGAUGGCGGGAGAAGGCAUUUGUUAGGUUUUUCUGAUCCAGUGUGCCUCAGAGCUGGAAAGGCUUCCUUGCUUCUGAGGUCCCAGUGCCUCUGAGUGUGGGCAAAGAGCCAGAGCUGCGUUUCCAGCAGGUUCCACCCCAGGCAGGGGGACACCCUGGAGGCUUCCAGCCACUUGGCAUCUCCUCAGUGGUGGGGCUGAGUAGUGAGGCAGGGGGCUGGGUGGCUUCCCCAGAAACGCGGGAUGGUCAGUGAGCGGCACAGUCCCUUGCAUUUUCUGGGGUGUUCUGUGGUUUGUUCCUCAUUUCCCCUGCCGCUUUGUGAACAAGAUGUAUUUCACUCAAGGAUCCGUGGAUUCAGGGGGUCCUGGGACACCACGUCCGAGAGGCUGGGGUUGGUUUGUUCCAGGUUCAGGCUUGUUUGGGGGGAGAAAUCCUGACACAAAUUCUUAGGAACAGGAGCCGCAUUCAGUUGGAAAGUGAAGAAGCCAAAUGUUGACUCUCAGGACCUUCUAGAAGAAUGAACUGGGAACCACUCUCCGGGUCCUGCCGGAACCAGAGCCCGAGGUAAAAACGCGAUGUGCCCUCCACAUCAUACAUGCUUUUAGUAAUGUUAAGUGGGGAUUUUUUCCCAACAAUGUUGUAGUUGUUGACAACAACUGAAAAACUGACAGGUAAGUUAUGUCGGGAACCUCCCGUUAUUUGAAUGUUCAGUAUUAUUCCUGCAACAGAAUUUGUUAUAGUUAUCCUCUCUUCUCUUCUUUGGAAGGAAUCUCAUCAAUAAUAUCUUAAAAACAUCCUCGUUACCUUAUCCCCUUUUCAGUUGAGAUUUGGCAUGUUUUCUGAUUUCUCAUGAACUCGUGAACAUCUGAAAUACUUUUAAAUUGAUUGUGGUUUUACUAAAAGCAGAUUCACCGGAUCCCUCCCUGACUGCUGCUGGUCAAAGGACAUACCAAGGCCACUUCUCAGUGUGGGUAAGAUUGUGCUAAGCAAACAC
ensembl:lncRNA